CUUGUCAACACUGGGGCGCGGCGGCCGGGCGGCGGCGGCGGCCUCGUCAUCGUGAGGCGGGCCCUCCGGGAGGCGGCGGCCCCCCAGGGAGCAGGCCUCAGGCCCUCAGGUGAGGGGAGAGGCGGCGACCCAGUGAGUGUCUGCCCGCAGCCAGCGGGGGAGGGGAGGCGACAGGGCUGUGGUGACAGCGCUGUGGGACCGGGAAGCUCCGGGUCCCGGUGCUUCUGCCUCUUCCUGCUCUGGGUUGUUUCGUGCCGGAGACCACCCAUCAGUGUGGCGGGUGACGGGUGAGGGAGGUGACAUGACGCGGCGUCUGCUCCUGUCAUGAAGCCUGUACCAGGAGAGACCUUGUGCGAGGAGAGACCCUGUGCGAGGAGAGACCCCGGGUGACAGCCUGUGAGUGACGAUGACACCAUGUGACGGACAGCAGGCGGAUUCUGGCUUCUGGGGGAGAAUCACCCAGUUAGGGUGAGGGGAUUUCAGACCCGCCUCGGACAGCACAAGUUGCCCCCAAGACACAGAUGAGGACAGAGACCGGGCCAGAUGGGUGGCCAGCCAGGCUGGGCAGGUGUGAGUUUACCAGGGAAAGUGAGAUUGAGCCGUGCUGCUGUCAACUGAUUUGGAAGUUGUUUCCCUCCUUUUCUUUUUUCCUCCUUGGAAAAGAGAAACACCUGGGGUUCUUUUCUUUAAUAUUUUAAUUGAGGUAGUCAUGGUGAAUUGCGAUUUGUAUUCAUUCAUAAGUAAUUUCAUUAUUAAUUACCACAUGUAACUUAUAAUUGGUGUAUCUGAAAUAAAUUACAAGGCAGUUUUUGUUUCAUUAACUUCAAGAAAAUGCCUUAACCAAAAUUGGGCUAGAAGGUCAGUAAACGUGUCACCUUGGUCACAUAGUCUAACUUUUAGUCAGUGGAAGAAUAUUAGGUUAAAUCACACAUAGAGAAGGGGUUUUAAAAUCGUGCACAUCAGGGAAUUAAUAUUCCUGCCUGAUGAGUUGUCUUUACAAUGAAUAUGUUCACAAUGUAAUGGUUCAUAGCAAGAACUAUAAAGCCAUGCUGGGUUGAAUU
rnacentral:lncRNA from 1 species